rnacentral:miRNA from 1 species
GUUGGCCAAAAAGUUCAUCUGGGCUUCCCAUAGCAUCUUGUGCAAAAACGGGAACGAACCUUUUGGCCAACACA